rnacentral:tRNA from 1 species
GCAGUGGUGGUUCAGUGGUAGAAUUCUCUCCUUCCUGUGGGAGACCCAGGUUCGAUUCCUGGCAAUGUA